rnacentral:sRNA from 1 species
UCUCACAAUGAAGAAUGCGGAUCAACUUUGAUCUUCCAAAUUGAACCAACGGAUCCCACCUAAAAUUGUGCCAAAAUUAAGCUCAACCAAGCCAUUUUUCCAAAAUU